AUUGAACGCCGGCGGGAGGCCUAACACAUGCAAGUCGAACGGUAGCACAGAGGAGCUUGCUCCUUGGGUGACGAGUGGCGGACGGGUGAGUAAUGCCUGGGAAACUGCCUGAUGGAGGGGGAUAACUACUGGAAACGGUAGCUAAUACCGCAUAAUGUCGCAAGACCAAAGCGGGGGACCUUCGGGCCUCGCACCAUCGGAUGUGCCCAGAUGGGAUUAGCUUGUAGGUGAGGUAAUGGCUCACCUAGGCGACGAUCCCUAGCUGGUCUGAGAGGAUGACCAGCCACACUGGAACUGAGACACGGUCCAG
rnacentral:rRNA from 1 species